rnacentral:rRNA from 1 species
CACGGGGGGAGCAAGCGUUGUUCGGAAUCACUGGGCGUAAAGAGCGCGCAGGCGGUCGUUCAAGUCGCGUGUGAAAGCCCCCGGCUCAACUGGGGAGGGUCACGCGAUACUGAUCGACUGGAAGGCAGGAGAGGGUAGUGGAAUUCCCGGUGUAGUGGUGAAAUGCGUAGAUAUCGGGAGGAACACCAGUGGCGAAGGCGACUACCUGGCCUGUUCUUGACGCUGAGGCGCGAAAGCUAGGGGAGCAAACGGG